GAUGAACGCUGGCGGCGUGCCUAAUACAUGCAAGUCGAGCGAACAGACGAGGAGCUUGCUCCUCUGACGUUAGCGGCGGACGGGUGAGUAACAUGUGGAUAACCUACCUAUAAGACUGGGAUAACUUCGGGAAACCGGAGCUAAUACCGGAUAAUAUAUUGAACCGCAUGGUUCAAUAGUGAAAGACGGUUUUGCUGUCACUUAUAGAUGGAUCCGCGCCGCAUUAGCUAGUUGGUAAGGUAACGGCUUACCAAGGCAACGAUGCGUAGCCGACCUGAGAGGGUGAUCGGCCACACUGGAACUGAGACACGGUCCAUACUCCUACGGGAGGCAGCAGUAGGGAAUCUUCCGCAAUGGGCGAGAGCCUGACAGAGCAACGCCGCGUGAGUGAUGAAGGUCUUCGGAUCGUAAAGCUCUGUUAUUAGGGAAGAACAAAUGUGUAAGUAACUAUGCACGUCUUGACGGUACCUGGUCAGAAAGCCACGGCUAACUACGUG
rnacentral:rRNA from 1 species